rnacentral:tRNA from 1 species
GCAGUGGUGGCAGACUGGAAUGCAUCUCGCUUCCAACGAGAUCUAUGCGGGUUCGAAUCCUGUCCACUGUA